ACAACGGUGGAGCCUGCGGUUUAAUUGGACUCAACGCCGGGCAGCUCACCGGAUAAGACAGCUGGAUGAUAGCCGGGCUGAAGACUCUGCUUGACUAGCUGAGAGGAGGUGCAUGGCCGUCGUCAGUUCGUACUGUGAAGCAUCCUGUUAAGUCAGGCAACGAGCGAGACCCACGCCAACAGUUGCCAGCAUGUCCUCCGGGAUGAUGGGGACACUGUUGGGACCGCCUCUGCUAAAGAGGAGGAAGGAAUGGGCAACGGUAGGUCAGCAUGCCCCGAAUUAUCCGGGCUACACGCGGGCUACAAUGGUCAGGACAAUGGGUAUCGACACCGAGAGGUGGAGGCAAUCUCCUAAACCCAUCCGUAGUUCGGAUUGUGGGCUGCAACUCGCCCACAUGAAGCUGGAAUCUGUAGUAAUCGUGUCUCAAAAUGGCACGGUGGAUAUGUCCCUGCUCCUU
rnacentral:rRNA from 1 species